rnacentral:lncRNA from 1 species
GAAAACAAAAGGAGAAAAACAAACCAACCAACUCAUUGACAACGUUGGCCAUCUGCAAAACUAGGAGAGAAACAUUGUUGCUCGCCAUCGACCACAGAACACUCAUACAGAGAACAGUUAAACCAUUGACUGGCUCGUCAUUAUUCUGAAACAUUCUUAUAUGUUCACCGUCUCUUCUUUUCGAGAAACGAAAAUGACGCGCGCAAAACGAGCCCCGUGCCACCAAAUGAAUUUGGCAUCUCUGAGUAAACUAUAACCAGAAAGAAACCACAAUUCACAAAGGGGAAGACCAGAACCCGUAAUUCGUUAAAAACAAAAGAUGUAAAGCAAUAACUACCACUACGUAAAUCAAUUACGUAUUAACUCUUAAGAACAUCCCAAUAACACCAACUAACUACAAAAGCACAUAACUUUAACAAAUACACUACACCUAAAAAACAAAAGCCAUCUCAUUCUAAAUUACAUAAAAUGGAGGGUUUAAGGGUAAUGACAGAGAGAGGGAGAGCUUGUCAACCAGAAAGACAUGAAGUUAAGGUCAGGCUCAGCACAAUUUGUUCAGACAGACACAGGUUACAAAUUAGGGUUUAUGGUACAAACAAAACCUAGCUGGCUAUCUUCUUUUCGUGGGGAUAAGUCAAUUAGUCUGACAUGUCAAACAGCGGUUUACCGUCAUUUCUCCUGAUGGAAUUGCUCUAUGGCAUCAGCUGAGAGAGAAGUAUACCCCUCGCUCGCUGCGCAUGACUCAACCAUUCCUGUACUAGCUACCUAAUCAUCAUCUUCUUCCGCAUUAUCAUCAUCUUCAUCUUCUUCCUCCUCAUCCGACAUGUUCUUAAUAACCUCAGUUAUAGCCUCCUUCACCUCUGCUUUUCUGUGCGAUAUAUCUACGUUGAAGUGUUUACCUGAUACAGCCAAAACAAUUUGGAUGGUUGGGAGCAAUGAACAAAUCAAACGACAAGAGAGAUUUAAUUUAGUACAAUGAAACCAUACCAAGUUUUCUGAGAAUAUCUGACAAAGUUGCCUGCAGAAUUUCAGCACAAAACAACUGUUUAAGCACAAUACAAUAUUCCACUACCAGCAAGCAUAACUAGAACAAUUUCCAACUGAGUACUCACUGUAUCGAAAUCAACUUCUUUCAGGAUGUCAACAACAACUGCAUGCAACUCUUCUCUUGUGGGUUCACUCUUGACCUUCUUACUAGAUUUUCCUUUCCCUACACAAUAUAACAAACACUUGUAUAUUAAUUCAUUCGCAAGAGCAUCAUCACCUUCAGCAAUCAAUUAAUUGUGUGUUGGUGCAUACUGGUGCAUAGCAUCUCGGAUCAUCUUCUCGAGCAUGGUCCUGUAAGAAGACUGCGCCUCUGCAAGCCGCCUGCACUUCUCUGCCCUUCUUCUUCGCUUGGUUAGUUCCACUUCCAGGUCCUGAAUUGCAAGCUUCUCCUUGUUACUGCUUCUCAUCACUUCAUCAACUUCUACAUCCAAGUUUUGUAUCUCCGCCACAAGUUUCUGAGCCUCUUCUUCUCUGCGCUGCUUCAGUGAAUCUCUUGCCUUUGCUAUCGCUUGGUAUGGAUUCAGGCCGAAUUCAGGCGCCUCAUUUUCUUUCAUCACUGCUUUCUUUGCAGCUAAAUAAGGAAGGAACACACACAUAAGAGAAAAAUAAGAGACAGAAUGAUAUUUAAUUAGCAGCAAAUCCAAUAACCAAUAAUUUCAGCACCGACUGACCAACUAUGGGAGAAUAUGGCCUCAUCAUCAUCUGUUUGUUGUUGAAAUCCAAGGAUUUCAACGGAGUCGAAGAAGAAGAAUCGUGCGGCUCUCCUCUUCUUCGAGACACCACAAUUGAGGCUGGAGCAAGGCCUAGCUCUUUCUUUGAUUCGGAGAAAUGGUGUGGGAAAGAGUGUGAUUCCACUGUCUGGGAUUCAUUCAAUUCUUCAUUCUCACCUUCCAGGAACAGAAACGAAAACCCCCUCCUCCUGAAAUCAGAGUUGGAAGAAGCAAAGAUGGAGAGGAACUGGUUAACAGAGAUCCCCAGCUGUAAAUCCCACCACGGCACUUGAAAUUCCAGCUUGUUGUGCUUCCUUUUACAGACUUGCCACUGUAAGAUCCUCAAAUUACUAGGAACGGUCACUCCUCCUCCUGCGAAACCACCAAAAAUCUUCUUUAACAACAGAGGGAAAACAGAGCAUUUGGGAAGAAGCAGAGGAAGAAAAAGAAAAUUACUUGAGCAAGGAAACCAGUGGUCAAUGUCCCAAUAGAGGGGAGAAGCCUUGUCCGCAUGGAAAUACACAACAUUUCCAUACGGAUCUACUCGGAUUACUUCAGGGUCAAAUCCAGCGUUCCUGAAAAUGGAUUACAAGAAUUUGAUUUUAUAUAUAUGCAUCUUAGUUUCAUCAAGAAAUGAAAAGGAUGAGACUUGAACGUUGAUAUAUAUAUACCCGAGAUGGUUGAGCUGCUUCCAUAGCAGACUGACGAAAAUCUUAAGCUUGGCUGUGGGUUUGGCCUUUGGAUCCAGCACCGGAAACAUUUGAUCCAAAUCUCUUGCCCUCUCGAUCUAAACAAAUAAUUUUUAUGAAGAUUUUCUGGUAGACUGGAAUAUGAGAAAGCUUGGAUUCCAUUGACAUACCUCGUGGUGAUGAAGCGGGUGAUAGGGAGUAAAAGUGAAAGGAGGGCCGUGCAGAUAAAUGCCGACCAAGCCGCCAUCUCUGCAACAUUUGGCGUAAGCUUUUGGGUAGCCGAGUGUGGCGUCCACCGCCGUUUCUUCUUCUUCUACUUCUUUAGACCAGUAAUCAGAAGCUGAGGCCAUGGAGAGGCUGAGCAAUCUCUUCCUUCAGUUUGGGGCAACGAAGAAGGGAAAGUAGAGUGUUGAGGAAGUGCAAGUGCGAAAUGGAGCGGGGUAUUGUCGUUUGUUUCAACUUUCAAGUGAAAAACAAGACCAGUAGUAGUCAGUUCCCCCAACGGUCGGAUUCUUUGUUUUUUCCCUCUUAUUUUUUAUUUCUUAAAUUAUUUUUAUGUUUGAAGAGACUCAAAUUAAUUUGCGAGAUGGAAGGUUUCUUUAAUGGAAAAUAAAAACAUUAUUUAUGAAGUUAGUUUGGACUGUGGGGUAAUCAUUAGAGAGAGCUUAUGUUAUUAGCUAAUAUUAUCAUGUUUUAAUUUUCUUUGGGUUUCAAGUCGCAUCAGUUUGGCCUUCAGUACAGAUGAGCAAAUCGUCUGCACAUGAAGACGAGUUUAUCCGACGGCUGAGGGCAACCAGCGGGCGAUCGACGGCAGGAAAUAAAAAGAACAAAACAAUCAUCUACACAUGUAGACGAUUUGCUCAUCUGGAAUUCAAAAUUCCCAAGGCGGAAAGUAGAAAUUUGAACUCUAAAACCAUUAAUCAAAUUUGCUAAAUCGUCAAAUCAUUAAAAUUUUCUCCAUGGAAUUUUCUCUUUCUUUUGCAAGUUCUUUACUUCUUCCUCCAUGAAAUUUAACCUACAAACUGAAGUAGCCGACAUGAAAGUUGAGAGCUGUUAGGAAAGAAUCUGAGAAGCUCGAUUGGAUAGUUCGAAAGAGAGCUCCAGCAUCGAUGUUAAGGUCGACAUCGUUAACAUCAACAGGCAUCAUGUGAAGAAGAAAAAAAGGAGAGAAACAAACCAACCAACUCAUUGACAACGUUGGCCAUCUGCAAAACUAGGAGAGAAACAUUAUUGCUCGCCAUCAGACCACAGAACACUCAUACAGAACAGUUAAAACCAUUGACUGACUCUGUCAUUAUUUUGUAACAAUCUUAUGUUUAUAUGUUCACUGUCUCUUCUUUUCGAGAAACGAGCCCCGUGCUACCAAAUGAUUUCGGUCUGAGUAAACUAUAGCCAGAAAGAAACCACAAUUCACAAAGGGGAAGACCAAGAACCCGUAAUUCGUUCAAUACAAAUUAUCUAAAGCAAUAACUACCACACAAGGGUGUAUUAAGAAUAUCCCAAUAACACCAACUAACUACAAAAGCACAUAACUUAACAAAUACACUACACCUAAAACAAAAGCCAUCUCAUUCUAAAUUACAUAAAAUAGAGGGUUAUAGGGUAAUGACAGAGAGAGAGGGAGAGAGCUUGUCAAGCAGAAAAACAUCAAGUUAAGGUCAGGCUCAGCACCAUUUGUUCAGACAGAAACAAGUUACAAAUUAGGGUUUAUGGUACAAACAAAACCUAGUUGGCUAUCUUCUUUUCUUGGGGAUAAGUCAAUUAGUCUGACACGUCAAACAGAGGUUUACCGUCAUUUCUCCUGAUGGAAUUGCUCUAUGGCAUCCGCUGAGAGACAAGUAUACCCCUCGCUCGCUGCGCAUGACUCGACCAUUCCUGUACUAGCUACCUAAUCAUCAUCUUCUUCCGCAUCCCCUCCCGCCUCAGCAUUAUCAUCAUCUUUGUCAUCUUCAUCUACUUCCUCCUCAUCCGACAUGUUCUUAAUAACCUCUGUUAUAGCCUCCUUCACCUCUGCUUUUCUGUGCAAUAGAUCUACGUUGAAGUGUUUACCUGAUACAGCCAAAACAAUUUGGAUGGUUGGGAGCAAUGAACAAAUCAAUCGACAAGAGAGAUUUAUUUAGUACAAUGAAACCAUACCAAGUUUCUUGAGAAUAUCUGACAAAGUUGCC